rnacentral:rRNA from 1 species
UGGUAGUGUAUUGGACAACCAUGGCUUUAACGGGUAACGGAGGAUUAGGGUUCGAUUCCGGAGAGGGAGCCUGAGAAACGGCUCCCACAUGUAAGGAAGGCAGCAGGCGGGUAAAUUACUCAAUCCUAAUUCAGGGAGGUAGUGACAAGAAUUAACGGACUGGGGCUUAUGGUUCAGGAGUGCAAUGAGUAGAAUUUAAACCCCUUUAUGAGGAUCAAUUGGAGGGCAAGUCUGGUGCCAGCAGCCGCGGUAAUUCCAGUUCCAAUAGCAUAUAUUAAAGUUGUUGCAGUUAAAAAGUUGGUAGUUGAAUUUCUGGAAGGAUUCCAAUGUCCGUUGUAUGCGUGUGCAGCGGAGUCCUUCCAUCCUUAUGUUAACCUUUAUGGGUAUUAACUGUCUGGUUGGGGGCUCAGAUAUUUUACCUUGAGAAAAUUAGAGUGUUUAAGGCAGGCUUGGGCCGGAAUACAUUAGCAUGGAAUAAUACAAUAGGACUUUGGUGUCCUUUGUUGGUUUGAGGGAUUAAAGUAAUGAUUAAUAGGGACAGUUGGGGGCAUUAGUAUUUAAUUGUCAGAGGUGAAAUUCUCGGAUUUGUUAAAGACUA